CAGUGGCACCAGAGUCUAUAAUCCAGAUGCAAUCACUUACUUUGGUUAGCAUGCAAGCCCCAUAGGAAACAUUCUUUAAAUGAGUGGUUGGAGAAAAAUUACCAGCAAAGUUGGCUGAGGCCAUAAGGCUGGACUGCUGCUUAGACUCUGCAAGCUGUGUCUGCUGAAGCAGCAACAUAAGCUGGGAAUAUUGGUCUUUGCUUAAACCAGGUAUUAGAGACUCUGAAUCAGAAACCCCUUGAGAAUUGUCAGCACUACUCUGAGUUCCAGCAGGGUUUGUAUACCCCUACACUUCAACAUGUGCUGCACUCCUCCUUCCUUUGGUGAAUUUGAAGUCUGAUGGAAAUCCUCUUGUGAAUUUGAAGUCUGGUGGAAAUCCAUGAAGUUAAUAGCAUUUUUCAAUCAGGUGUCCAGGCUUCUUACAAUCCCUACACACUAGGUUUGCUCUAUUGGGAUUAGAAUUGAGUCUUGGGCUGAAUUUUUUAGGGUAACCAGCUGCUGUGGGAAAUCUUGUGAUGGAGGGUUUGUUGCUGAAAUGAGCAUUGAAGGCACUCGAAUCAUGAUGAAAUUGAGAAGGUGAAGAGACUUGUCUUUGUCUCUCAUCUUGGAGUAGAAUAUUGUAUGCACAAUCUAGAAUUGGUGGAGGUUGUAGCAUAAGAAUAUUGCUUCUGACUCCCACAUAGAUGUCAUUGAGCCCCAUAAGGAACUGGUGCAGUUGGAGUAGAAUAUUGUAUGCACAAUCCACAGUUGGUGAAGGUUGUAGCAUAAGAAUAUUGCUUCUGACUCCCACAUAGAUGUCAUUGAGCCCCGUAAGGAACUGAUGCAGUUUGUUGUCAUCAUCCUCCCUUUGAAGCUCGAUUCUGGCAUUGCAUGUGCAAUUGUUGCCACGAGAUGCGAUCAUGAAGUUCAGUUCAUCCCAUAGUUUCUUUAGCUUGUUGAAAUAAGAAGCUAUAUCCAGAGACCCUUGAUUAGUUGAUGCCAGCUCCUGCUUAAUCUCAAAUAUCCUGGUUCCAUUCACAGUUCCAUAUCUACUAUUGAGUUAAUUCCAGAUGCUUUGAGCAGUGUCGGAAUACUGAACACUCUCAGCUGGCGCAAGGGAAUUAGUAAGCCAAGAGAUAACCAUAUUGUUGCACCUAUC
rnacentral:lncRNA from 1 species